rnacentral:rRNA from 1 species
UACGUAGGUGGCGAGCGUUGUCCGGAUUUACUGGGCGUAAAGGGCGCGUAGGCGGCCAACUAAGUCGGAUGUGAAAUCCCCAGGCUUAACCUGGGAACUGCAUCCGAUACUGGAUGGCUUGAAUCCGGGAGAGGGAUGCAGAAUUCCAGGUGUAGCGGUGAAAUGCGUAGAUAUCUGGAGGAAUACCGGUGGCGAAGGCGGCAUCCUGGACCGGCAUUGACGCUGAUGAGCGAAAGCUAGGGGAGCAAACAGG